GGGAGUGUGAGGUAAUGGUAGCCUAGUGCUCUUCAAAAGCGCGUGCGUCUGUUCGAUUCGGGCCACUCCUG
rnacentral:tRNA from 1 species